ACGCGCACACAUAAAUCUGUGUUUGUUCGCCCACAUAAAAACUCGGACAGCGGACGCUGUUACAGUGGUACAUCAGUGUUGUUUCGCGUACGCUGUAAUCUAAGUUUUCCAACUAAAACUCGUAAUCAGUCAGCAAGAAAUAAAGAAAGAAAUAAUGCUGACUAAUGAUAAAUCGAAAAUAAACCCUAUAAAAUAAUAUUAUUGAAGUGCAAGACUAUGAAUUAAAAUCAUUUAUAUAAUGUUCGUGACCAACGAGACGAAAAUGAACGAAACACGUUCAACAACAAUAAUAAUAGUAGAGCAUGAGUACUGUGAAAAGUGUCACUUUUUUUGUUCUUUUUAAAUUUGUUCAUGGGUAGACCUAAAACGUCUAUAAAAAAAAAUAUAAUAAACAUGGGAUGAACAAGCAAAGAUACGAUUGGACUCCCAUCAUGAGAGAUAUACAAGACAAGCCCACAACAAUAGAUCCAAUAUUUUAAUAAUGUAACACAAUGGCUGUUCCCACACUACAAAAUAUAUGGAAGAAAAGAACAUUUUUUCGGAGGUAUGAAUCAUCACAUUGUAAUUAAAAUCGAGAAAAUAAAAUCGCUGAUUACAUGGCACAGAAAUAAUUCCAAUAUUUAAAGUAUGUUAUACUUCAAAUCAUU